CGUGUCUCAGUGGUGAGGAGGGCACCUGGCAGAAGAGGCGCAGAUGGGAGCUGAAAUGUUUUCAAACGAAAACAUCAGCUCCACUGCAUUCUCAUCUGCAAGAGCCACAAGCAGUCACGUGAGAGAUGUGUGCUGCUGCAUGUCUCCCAGCAGAGAUGUGAAGCAGUAGAAGGCCUGCAAGCCAACUGACUGCUCUUACAUAUUCCUCAGGAGAAAGGUUGUUCGUACCAGACAUCGGGGCUAAAAAUAGACCACACCCUCCAGGCCUUGGGAAAACCGGACAAGACUGACACCUGGUGGUGGGCUCUGGGAAUGCAGCUAGAACUAGACAGAAGAAGUUGAGAUGAUGUUUCACCGGUACCGCUGUUGUGAUGAAGACGAUGGUGAAAGAUGAUGAUGUGAUGAAGAUGAUGGUGGUGAUGGAGGCCACAGAAGUGGUAGAAUGGAUUGAUGAGUGUUCACCACCAGUAGAAGACUGUAAUGGAACUGGCCAGCUCUGGUACCCACAGUAGAAGACUUUGUUUGUACUAGGCAUUUCCCAAAAUAAAAUUGAAUCAUUAUAUUUGUUAUAGUUGAAGUGCAUGAACAUUUAUUUAGCUCAUAGUAGCACAGG
ensembl:lncRNA